rnacentral:rRNA from 1 species
GACGAACGCUGGCGGCGUGCCUAAUACAUGCAAGUCGAGCGGACAGAAGGGAGCUUGCUCCCGGAAGUCAGCGGCGGACGGGUGAGUAACACGUGGGCAACCUGCCCUGCAGAUUGGGAUAACUCCGGGAAACCGGGGCUAAUACCGAAUAACAUUGGAAACCUCAUGGUUUCCUUUUAAAGGGCGGCUUCGGCUGUCACUGCAGGAUGGGCCCGCGGCGCAUUAGCUAGUUGGUGAGGUAACGGCUCACCAAGGCGACGAUGCGUAGCCGACCUGAGAGGGUGAUCGGCCACACUGGGACUGAGACACGGCCCAGACUCCUACGGGAGGCAGCAGUAGGGAAUCUUCCGCAAUGGACGAAAGUCUGAUGGAGCAACGCCGCGUGAGUGAAGAAGGUUUUCGGAUCGUAAAACUCUGUUGUCAGGGAAGAACAGGUACGGUAGUAACUGCCCGUACCUUGACGGUACCUGGCCAGAAAGCCACGGCUAACUACGUGCCAGCAGCCGCUGUAA